GCCCGGCAUGGUGGCACGUGCCUGUAGUCCCAGCUACUCAGGAGGCUGAGGUGGGAGGAUCGCUUGAGCCCAGGAGUUCUGGGCUGUAGUGCGCUAUGCUGAUUGGGUGUCCGCACUAAGUUUGGCAUCAAUAUGGUGACCUCCUGGGAGCCGGGGACCACCAGGUUGCCUAAGGAGGGGUGAAUUGGCCCAGGUCAGAUAUUCAUGUGCUGAUCAGUAGUGGGAUCGUGCCUGUGAAUAGCCACUGCACUCCAGCCUGGGCAAUAUAGCAAGACCCCAUCUCUA
rfam:Callithrix jacchus chromosome 6, whole genome shotgun sequence